GGAUUUGAGGGCAAUCUGGCUACAACAUCUGUCACCUCAUUGAUCACCAGCAUUGAUUCAGCUGAUCACUGUUCCAUGUGCAUCCCUCUGGAAGCUGGAUGCCCGGCUGAAGACGACGGCCUUUCCCAAAUAGAGAAGGACCUGUCUUCAGUCAAGGGUAUAUGAGUAGUUGCACUCCCCUGCUAGAACCUCCAAACAAUCUCUCAAGGUUAAAAAUAAUGCAGACAGACAUAUUUGUGCACAUGUGUACAUACACACUCUCCAG
rnacentral:snRNA from 1 species